UGUUGAGCUUGAAUCUAGUUCAACUUCGUGAAAUGAUUUUAGAGGUGUAGAAUAAGUGGGAGCCCUUUUUGGUGCAAGUGAAAUACCACUACUUUUAAUGUUAUUUUACUUAUUCUGUGGGGCGAAGAUGGGUAAUUUCCCCUGUUUUCUUCCAUAAGACACGUUUUAAUGAGUUGAUCUAGGAGAAAAACAUUGUCAGGUGGGGAUUUUGGCUGGGGAGACACAUUUGUUAAAAGAUAACACAAGUGUCCUAAGAUGAGCUCAAUGAGAAAAUAGAUAUCGUGUGGAACAAAAGGGUAAAAGCUCAUUUGAUUUUCCACCAACUUAUUGAUCCUUAUAAUUCAUUGAUGGAUAUGAAUUACUACA
rnacentral:ncRNA from 1 species